rnacentral:lncRNA from 1 species
GAUAUAUGGAAUAUUUAUUAAUGACACAAAACCAGUACAUGAACAGCAAUAAAGAAAACAUACAAAGAGCAAAUGAACAGCGCUUUAUUGUUGUUCUUCAUCUCAAAAUCACAUUGAGACAUUGUUUGUAUAGCAUAUAGACAUUGUUUUGGUUCCAACACUGCAUAUAUUGCUGCCGUUGUAGUGUACAGUACCAGGUGUAAGACAAACAGAUAGGAUCGAAAACAACGGGCUUUCUAUGAACUGAUCUUUAAUUCCGGAUUUUCUUCUUUUACUUUAUCGACAAACAUUUACUAUACAUGUAUAAUCAUUAAGUUGUACAGUAGGCAUGGCAGUUUGCAACAAUAUUUUCUCAGAUUACCAGUUAACAUACACAAAAUAUGUAGCGACAAAAAAAAAAUAGCUAACAGCUUGAUGAUGCCUGCUUUCCUGGUCCGUUUGUGAAAAUUGACGUUUUUAAUGUUCCAGACGGGUUAAAUCUGUACGUUCCAAACUCUUUUCUUUUGAAAAUUUUCCUAUGAAACAAUAAAAACACAAGAGGAUUCACGAGGCUAUUCAAUGGCGCCAAGACGUACAAAAGUUGAAAAGUAGCUCCAAAUUUAAUCAAUUUCCACAUCAUCAACGAUGUACCAACACACACCGGUGUCCAGCAAACAAUGUAUGCUGU